rnacentral:misc_RNA from 1 species
GAUGAAGAACGUAGCGAAAUGCGAUAAGUAAUGUGAAUUGCAGAAUUCAGUGAAUCAUCGAAUCUUUGAACGCACAUUGCGCCCGCCAGUAUUCUGGCGGGCAUGCCUGUCUGAGCGUCAUAUCAACCCUCAUGCCCCUAGGGCGUGGUGUUGGGGAUCGGCCAAAGCCCGCGAGGGACGGCCGGCCCCUAAAUCUAGUGGCGGACCCGUCGUGGCCUCCUCUGCGAAGUAGUGAUAUUCCGCAUCGGAGAGCGAUGAGCCCCUGCCGUUAAACCCCCAACUUUCCAAGGUUGACCUCAGAUCAGGUAGGAAUACCCGCUGAACUUAAGCAUAUCAAUAAGCGGAGGA